GAGUUCCCUGCAGUCAUUAAACACAGACAAGCACACCGUCUGGGAUGACACUUCCCUACAGGAGCUCACAACGUUGCUUUCCAAGAACGCAGCCCCAGAUACACAACAGCCCCAUCCAUCCCACUUACUGGUUUUCUUUCCACUCUUUAAACAUUGCCGGUCUCUCAAAAGGUGAUUUCAAGGUCAUUUAAUUGAGGAAGUAGAUUUGUCUGCUAAACCACUUUCAUCAGAACAUUUCAGGAGUAAAUCCUGCAGCGCUUACAUUUAUUGCCAUCCAGCUUCCAAGGACCUCAGGAAAUCUCAUCUGGGGGGUUUGGCUGGCUCCGCUACGAGGCAGAGUGACAGUUCUCCUGACAUCACAACGGUACAGGUCCCUUCUAGCACACCUCCUUCCAGUCCUACGUUCCAGCAGCACCAGGAUCAUCGAACUGGGCAAAUCUCGGUUUCUCCUGAGCCCAAGAGAUCUUCUUGGUUAAUACACCUGCCAAUUAGAGUGUAAUAAAAGACAGGGGUGGAAUCACCAAGGCAAGAGUCCCACACUGCAGUAUCAACAGAAAACCAUGUCCUGCUCCAACAAGGAUGCAGUAUGAAGGAGAGCUAACACUCACAAGUGAUGGGAAACCCAAGAUGUGCAAAUCCAGAUUGGCUCCAUCCAGAGUGCACGCCAGGAGCCAACGUCCAGUGCUCGCACGAUGCUGAUUUCUCCUUGCACCAGAGGGCUAAAUCGCAUUAAGUCAUCCACAGAAGCAUUAAAUAGUUUCCUGACAUUACAUUUCUAUGUAAGCAGUUAAAGCUGUUGCCAUAGGAACAUUAACAAAUAUAGCAAUGUGUAUAAUUGUGAAUAAAAAUGGACUGGAAAAACAGGACAAAAACGGCCCACACGGCCACAUAGUUCACGCUCCGAGCCCCACACGACACGAUGCGUGCAGCUGGCACGUGGCAGGGCAGCACCAGGCUCCCACCCCAGCAGGCACGGAGCCUGCCGAACCCCCAGCUCCCGGCCUCAUAAAAAUAGCAGGAACACAUGUUCCCAUUAGUCACUUGCUGGAGGGGAGCUGUGGGGUAUGUGCUGACAGUCUGAGCACUGAGAUCUAAUUUGAAUAGUAUUUGCAUAUUCCAGGUAGACAAAGUGCAACUGUAUUAAAAACACACGCGCGCAAGGAUGUACAAAGUGAGACAGCAGUCUGAUGACAUUUACCUGAAAUCAAACCUUUCCCCAGCAUGUUUCCUAAUGCGUGUGCUAGGGCCCCUCACGGCUACUGCUGCCCAGCCUGGCCGGUCUCAGCGAGGCUCUUAAUUAAACUUCCACUUGCCAGGAAUGGUUUGUGUUUGCAGAAGUGAGGACACGGCUGUCCUCAUGGGAACAUCAGACAGAGGGCUGCUCCCUCUGGAUAACACCAUUUCCUGGCCUCAGCAAGGAGGAGACAUUUCAAGGUAAUCCAAAUGCAAUAAGUGUCCCUCGCUGCUGUUGACUACAACUGAAAUUCUGCACAUUAUUUCCAAGCAUUCAGUUAGGACUAAUGAGCGUCUAAAGCUGAUGAUAGGUCUGAAUGCAAGCCAUCCCUCCUCACCGGCUUCCUCUUGAUCUUUAAAAGCUCAGUGAUCUUUGGCAGGAGCAUAACCUCUGGGAGUUCAAAGGUUAAGUUUUGGGGACGCAAUCAGCGACUGAGCAAGGCAGGACAGAACUGUGCCGAGGUUAUGUCAAGACACUGCUGGGCUGGAAGAAAGCCCUGGCAUCGCGCAGGUGGCUGCGACUGAUGCUCCGCUUCUGACGGCGGGGAGCGCCAGGACGGUGCUGUGCCAGGGGCAGGACAUCCCCAGCCCUCAGCCUCAGCCCUGCACCUCCCCGGGAGUCGUGGUCAACAGUUAGCAACUAUCAAUACGUGGGCAAAUACCAAAUCCAAUGCAUUUCCAUCUACCUGUUGGUCUACUGUGAAUUUCCAACACAAGCAAACAAAAGCUGUAACAUACUGUCA